AUGCCCGCGAGGUGGCCCCCAGGCUGGCCUUUGCCAGCAUGUUCAACAGCUCGGAGCAGUCCCAGAAGGCACUUUAGGAGGCCAAGUCAGGAGGAGCGCAUGAGCCCAGGAGACCUGCCUGGACAACAUAGCAAGACUCCAUCUCUACAAAAAAUGGAAAAAAAAAUUAGCAGGAGGGCUGUCGGUGGCGGUGCCUGGGGAGAUCCGAGGCUAUGAGCUGGCACACCAGCGGCAUGGGCGGCUGCCCUGGGCUCGCCUCUUCCAGCCCAGCAUCCAGCUGGCCCGCCAGGGCUUCCCUGUGGGCAAGGGCUUGGCGGCAGUCCUGGAAAACAAGCGGACUGUCAUCGAGCAGCAGCCUGUCUUGUGGUAUGUCUGUGGGUGCGGCCCCCUGACACAGGCAGGGCAGGCACAGCCCAAGGACCUUGCAGGCCGUAGCAGCAGUGGAGCGGCCCUCUGCCUUCAGGACCCUGUGCUGAUAAUGGGAUGAGGAGAUACAGACCCUUCCCACCACGUGUGGGGACACAUUCUGAGCAUGGGGUCCCAGUGGCCACUGUGGCUGGCCACGUGUCCUGAGUGGCAAGGGACACUAGGAGGCUCCCGGAAGGGACACUAGGAGGAUGAGCGCUGAGUGACAGGGCCACCCACCUGUGACAGGUGCUGCCCCUGCUUUGUGCUGGUCUCCUGUGUGGGCAGGUGUGGGGGGUGGUCUAGCUG
rnacentral:lncRNA from 1 species